AUACAAUAAUGUAACAUGAUGACAUAAUCAAACCUGUUAUUUGAAGGUAGUAUAAUACAAUAAUGUAACAUGAUGACAUAAUCAAACCUGUUAUUUGAAGGUAGUAUAAUACAACAGUGUAACAUGAUGACAUAAUCAAACCUGUUAUUUGAAGGUAGUAUAAUACAACAGUAUAACAUGAUGACAUAAUCAAACCUGUUAUUUGAAAGUAAUAUAAUACAACAGUGUAACAUGAUGACAUAAUCAAACCUGUUAUUUGAAGGUAAUAUAAUACAACAGUAUAACAUGAUGACAUAAUCAAACCUGUUAUUUGAAGGUAGUAUAAUACAAGAGUGUAACAUGAUGACAUAAUCAAACCUAUUAUUUGAAGGUAGUAUAAUACAACAGUGUAACAUGAUGACAUAAUCAAACCUGUUAUUUGAAGGUAUUAUAAUACAACAAUGUAACAUGAUGACAUAAUCAAACCAGUUAUGUUUUUAGGAACUGUAUCUUCCACCAAGUAACUUAUUUACCCAAAUUUUAAAUAAUUUUAGUUAUCAUAUAUAGAUCAUA